CCUACGGGGGGCAGCAGUGAGGAAUAUUGGUCAAUGGACGAGAGUCUGAACCAGCCAAGUAGCGUGAAGGAUGACUGCCCUAUGGGUUGUAAACUUCUUUUAUAUGGGAAUAAAAUGUUCCACGUGUGGGUUUUUGUAUGUACCAUAUGAAUAAGGAUCGGCUAACUCCGUGCCAGCAGCCGCGGUAAUACGGAGGAUCCGAGCGUUAUCCGGAUUUAUUGGGUUUAAAGGGAGCGUAGAUGGGUUGUUAAGUCAGUUGUGAAAGUUUGCGGCUCAACCGUAAAAUUGCAAUUGAUACUGGCAGUCUUGAGUACAGUUGAGGUAGGCGGAAUUCGUGGUGUAGCGGUGAAAGGCUUAGAUAUCACGAAGAACCCCGAUUGCGAAGGCAGCUUACUAAACUGUGACUGACAUUGAUGCUCGAAAGUGUGGGUAUCAAACAGGAUUAGAUACCCGGGUAGUC
rnacentral:rRNA from 1 species